rnacentral:misc_RNA from 1 species
CAACCCUCAAGCCUGGCUUGGUGUUGGGGCACUGCGGCUCGCCCGCAGGCCCUGAAAAUCAGUGGCGGGCUCGCCGUAACUCCGAGCGCAGUACUCUAUUCUCGUUCUGGAAGUGUGGCGGGUGCCGGCCGUGAAACCCCCAUUUUUACAAAGG